rnacentral:rRNA from 1 species
UACGUAGGGUGCAAGCGUUGUCCGGAAUUAUUGGGCGUAAAGGGCUCGUAGGCGGUCUGUUGCGUCAGGAGUGAAAACUCGGGGCUUAACCCCGAGCCUGCUUCUGAUACGGGCAGACUAGAGGUAUGCAGGGGAGAACGGAAUUCCUGGUGUAGCGGUGAAAUGCGCAGAUAUCAGGAGGAACACCGGUGGCGAAGGCGGUUCUCUGGGCAUUACCUGACGCUGAGGAGCGAAAGUGUGGGGAGCAAACAGG